rnacentral:rRNA from 1 species
CCUACGGGUGGCAGCAGUGAGGAAUAUUGGUCAAUGGACGAGAGUCUGAACCAGCCAAGUAGCGUGAAGGAUGACUGCCCUAUGGGUUGUAAACUUCUUUUAUAUGGGAAUAAAAUGUUCCACGUUUGGGAUUUUGUAUGUACCAUAUGAAUAAGGAUCGGCUAACUCCGUGCCAGCAGCCGCGGUAAUACGGAGGAUCCGAGCGUUAUCCGGAUUUAUUGGGUUUAAAGGGAGCGUAGGUGGAUUGUUAAGUCAGUUGUGAAAGUUUGCGGCUCAACCGUAAAAUUGCAGUUGAAACUGGCAGUCUUGAGUACAGUAGAGGUGGGCGGAAUUCGUGGUGUAGCGGUGAAAUGCUUAGAUAUCACGAAGAACUCCGAUUGCGAAGGCAGUUCACUGGACUGCAACUGACACUGAGGCUCGAAAGUGUGGGUAUCAAACAGGAUUAGAGACCCCUGUAGUC